rnacentral:rRNA from 1 species
GAAUCUGCCUGGUAGUGGGGGACAACGUUUCGAAAGGAACGCUAAUACCGCAUACGUCCUACGGGAGAAAGCAGGGGACCUUCGGGCCUUGCGCUAUCAGAUGAGCCUAGGUCGGAUUAGCUAGUUGGUGAGGUAAUGGCUCACCAAGGCGACGAUCCGUAACUGGUCUGAGAGGAUGAUCAGUCACACUGGAACUGAGACACGGUCCAGACUCCUACGGGAGGCAGCAGUGGGGAAUAUUGGACAAUGGGCGAAAGCCUGAUCCAGCCAUGCCGCGUGUGUGAAGAAGGUCUUCGGAUUGUAAAGCACUUUAAGUUGGGAGGAAGGGCAUUAACCUAAUACGUUAGUGUUUUGACGUUACCGACAGAAUAAGCACCGGCUAACUCUGUGCCAGCAGCCGCGGUAAUACAGAGGGUGCAAGCGUUAAUCGGAAUUACUGGGCGUAAAGCGCGCGUAGGUGGUUUGUUAAGUUGGAUGUGAAAGCCCCGGGCUCAACCUGGGAACUGCAUC